GACGAACGCUGGCGGCGUGCUUAACACAUGCAAGUCGAACGGAAAGGCCCUGCUUUUGUGGGGUGCUCGAGUGGCGAACGGGUGAGUAACACGUGAGUAACCUGCCCUAGACUUUGGGAUAACUUCAGGAAACUGGGGCUAAUACCGGAUAGCAUCUCCUGCUGCAUGGUGGGGGUUGGAAAGUUUCGGCGGUUGGGGAUGGACUCGCGGCUUAUCAGCUUGUUGGUGGGGUAGUGGCUUACCAAGGCGUUGACGGGUAGCCGGCCUGAGAGGGUGACCGGCCACAUUGGGACUGAGAUACGGCCCAGACUCCUACGGGAGGCAGCAGUGGGGAAUAUUGCACAAUGGGCGGAAGCCUGAUGCAGCAACGCCGCGUGCGGGAUGACGGCCUUCGGGUUGUAAACCGCUUUCGCCUGUGACGAAGCGUGAGUGACGGUAAUGGGUAAAGAAGCACCGGCUAACUACGUG
rnacentral:rRNA from 1 species